rnacentral:rRNA from 1 species
GAGUUUGAUCCUGGCUCAGGAUGAACGCUAGCGGCAGGCCUAACACAUGCAAGUCGAGGGGCAGCACAAAGAUAGUUUACUAUUUUAGUGGCGACCGGCGCACGGGUGAGUAACGCGUAUGCAACCUACCUUAUACAGGAGUAUAGCCCGAAGAAAUUCGGAUUAAUCCUCCAUAGUAUUUUCUAAUGGCAUCAUUUGGAAAAUUAAAGCUUCGGCGGUAUAAGAUGGGCAUGCGUCCUAUUAGCUAGAUGGUAAGGUAACGGCUUACCAUGGCAACGAUAGGUAGGGGGCCUGAGAGGGUGAUCCCCCACACUGGUACUGAGACACGGACCAGACUCCUACGGGAGGCAGCAGUGAGGAAUAUUGGGCAAUGGAGGCAACUCUGACCCAGCCAUGCCGCGUGCAGGAAGAAUGCCCUAUGGGUUGUAAACUGCUUUUAUUUAGGAAUAAACCCUUCUACGUGUAGAAGGCUGAAUGUACUAAACGAAUAAGCACCGGCUAACUCCGUGCCAGCAGCCGCGGUAAUACGGAGGGUGCAAGCGUUAUCCGGAAUCAUUGGGUUUAAAGGGUCCGCAGGCGGACGUAUAAGUCAGUGGUGAAAUCCUGCAGCUUAACUGCAGAACUGCCAUUGAUACUGUACGUCUUGAAUUCGGUCGAAGUGGGCGGAAUGUGUAGUGUAGCGGUGAAAUGCAUAGAUAUUACACAGAACACCGAUAGCGAAGGCAGCUCACUAGGCCUGGAUUGACGCUCAGGGACGAAAGCGUGGGGAUCAAACAGGAUUAGAUACCCUGGUAGUCCACGCUGUAAACGAUGAUUACUCGUUUUCGGCGAUAUACAGUCGGAGACUAAGCGAAAGUGAUAAGUAAUCCACCUGGGGAGUACGGUCGCAGGACUAAAACUCAAAGGAAUUGACGGGGGCCCGCACAAGCAGCGGAGCGUGUGGUUUAAUUCGAUGGUAAACGAAGAACCUUACCUAGGUUUGACAUAUAAGUGGUACUGAUCCGAAAGGUGAAGGACCCGCAAGGGAGCUUAUACAGGUGCUGCAUGGUUGUCGUCAGCUCGUGCCGUGAGGUGUUGGGUUAAGUCCCGCAACGAGCGCAACCCUCGUGGAUAGUUGUUUUCUUUAUCCAGACUGCUUUUACAAGAGGAAGGUGGGGAUGACGUCAAAUCAUCAUGGCUCUUACACCUAGGGCUACACACACGCUACAAUGGACAGUACAGACGGUUGCUAAGUCGCAAGAUGGAGCCAAUCCGAUAAAGCUGUCCCCAAUCGGGAUUGUAGGCUGAAACUCGCCUGCAUGAACCUGGAGUUGCUAGUAACCGCAGAUCAGAAUGCUGCGGUGAAUACGUUCCCGGGCCUUGCACUCACCGCCCGUC